UACGUAGGGGGCAAGCGUUGUCCGGAUUUAUUGGGCGUAAAGAGCGUGUAGGCGGUUUGGUAGGUCCGUUGUGAAAACUCGAGGCUCAACCUCGAGACGCCGAUGGAAACCAUCAGACUAGAGUCCGGAAGAGGAGAGUGGAAUUCCUGGUGUAGCGGUGAAAUGCGCAGAUAUCAGGAAGAACACCCGUGGCUAAGGCGGGUCUCUGGGCUGUAACUGACGCUGAGGAGCGAAAGCAUGGGGAGCGAACAGG
rnacentral:rRNA from 1 species